rnacentral:rRNA from 1 species
GUGACUGCGUACCUUUUGUAUAAUGGGUCAGCGACUUAUAUUCUGUAGCAAGGUUAACCGAAUAGGGGAGCCGGAGGGAAACCGAGUCUUAACCGGGCGUUAAGUUGCAGGGUAUAGACCCGAAACCCGGUGAUCUAGCCAUGGGCAGGUUGAAGGUUGGGUAACACUAACUGGAGGACCGAACCGACUAAUGUUGAAAAAUUAGCGGAUGACCUGUGGCUGGGGGUGAAAGGCCAAUCAAACCGGGAGAUAGCUGGUUCUCCCCGAAAGCUAUUUAGGUAGCGCCUCGUGAAUUCAUCUCCGGGGGUAGAGCACUGUUUCGGCUAGGGGGCCAUCCCGGCUUACCAACCCGAUGCAAACUGCGAAUACCGGAGAAUGUUAUCACGGGAGACACACGGCGGGUGCUAACGUCCGUCGUGAAGAGGGAAACAACCCAGACCGCCAGCUAAGGUCCCAAAGUCAUGGUUAAGUGGGAAACGAUGUGGGAAGGCCCAGACAGCCAGGAUGUUGGCUUAGAAGCAGCCAUCAUUUAAAGAAAGCGUAAUAGCUCACUGGUCGAGUCGGCCUGCGCGGAAGAUGUAACGGGGCUAAACCAUGCACCGAAGCUGCGGCAGCGACGCUUAUGCGUUGUUGGGUAGGGGAGCGUUCUGUAAGCCUGUGAAGGUGGCCUGUGAGGGUUGCUGGAGGUAUCAGAAGUGCGAAUGCUGACAUAAGUAACGAUAAAGCGGGUGAAAAGCCCGCUCGCCGGAANACGUAUCACCCAAGACAACUUUACGGAGUUGACGAUUGACGGAGCGAAGCGACGUCAAAGCGUUCAUUAAAGUCGAGUUGGCUUAGGGAUACGUUCGUUGGGUAGGGGAGCGUUCUGUAAGCCUGCGAAGGUGGCCUGUGAGGGUUGCUGGAGGUAUCAGAAGUGCGAAUGCUGACAU